CCUACGGGUGGCAGCAGUGAGGAAUAUUGGUCAAUGGGCGCGAGCCUGAACCAGCCAAGUAGCGUGAAGGAUGACUGCCCUACGGGUUGUAAACUUCUUUUAUAAAGGAAUAAAGUGAGGCACGUGUGCCUUUCCGAGGGUACUUUAUGAAUAAGGAUCGGCUAACUCCGUGCCAGCAGCCGCGGUAAUACGGAGGAUCCGAGCGUUAUCCGGAUUUAUUGGGUUUAAAGGGUGCGUAGAUGGGUUGUUAAGUCAGUUGUGAAAGUUUGCGGCUCAACCGUAAAAUUGCAAUUGAUACUGGCAGUCUUGAGUACAGUUGAGGUAGGCGGAAUUCGUGGUGUAGCGGUGAAAUGCUUAGAUAUCACGAAGAACUCCGAUUGCGAAGGCAGCUUACUGGACUGCCACUGACGUUGAGGCACGAAAGUGUGGGUAUCGAACAGGAUUAGAUACCCGUGUAGUC
rnacentral:rRNA from 1 species